rnacentral:misc_RNA from 1 species
CUCCUUCUCCUUCUCCAAUCCACGUUAAGUUCAACUCUUCCCUCUGAUAAAUUCCUUGAUAAAUUUUUAUGCAAAAUGCAAUGAACUUCUUAUUGCUCGUAAACUGUUCGAUUGUAUGGGUCACAGAAAUUUAGUGUCUUGGAUUGCCUUGAUGACUGGGUAUUUACAUAUGGGGUUAGGACUGAUAUCCAUAUUAAAGUUAGGACUGAUACUAAUGUAACUGAAAAUGAAUAAUGGCAUAUUACUUAAAAAAGAUUAAUACAGCUUCUUCAAAAGUGCAUCAAUAAUCGUGGUUGCAAAAUGUGCUAAAAAUUGUGUGUUUAGAUAUCAAAGAAGAGACCAAGCUAUUAUAGCUCAACUUCCUAUAAGAAGAUGCAAGUGUGAGACUCUGAUUCAAAGUAUACUACCAUUCAUUAUUUUAUGGUGCAAUGAUACAAGUAUAAGGUUGUCCACAGCAUGCGAGGGAUUUGACUCUUCGCUGACUAUGCCAAAACAGAUGAAGUUGCAUUUAGUUGGCUAUUUCUCACAUCUCGUUGAUUUGAAAUUUAUUAUUUAUUUAUUAUUAUUUUUUUAGUGCGUAACCUCUCUCAGCUCAGGCGCUCUAGGACCCCUUUGCUAAAUCAAAAUUAUAAUGAGUUAGAGAUCAAAAUUCUUCAUUAGUUAUCUGUUGGAGACUUGGUGUAUUUUAGAACAUUGUGAUUUGCAGCAUAGACUGGGAUUAUAACUGAAAACAGAAGGACAAUAAAUAUAUGAUGAGUUUCAGAAUUCGACUUCAGUCAAAAUGUGUUCAAAUGGGUACCUAGGAAGAGUUUCAAAUUCUUUUUGUUUUGGGAAUAUUUUCUUCAUCUCGCAAUAAACAGUGUGAGUUACUAUAUAAUAUUCUCUGAUAUUUCUCAUAUAAUACGUUAAAAAAAAGCCUAUUAU